rnacentral:rRNA from 1 species
UACGUAGGGGGCUAGCGUUGUCCGGAAUCAUUGGGCGUAAAGCGCGUGUAGGCGGUCCGGUAAGUCCGCUGUGAAAGUCGGGGGCUCAACCCUCGGAUGCCGGUGGAUACUGUCGGGCUUGAGUACGGAAGAGGCGAGUGGAAUUCCUGGUGUAGCGGUGAAAUGCGCAAAUAUCGGGAGGAACACCAAUGGCGAAGGCAGCUCGCUGGGACGUUACUGACGCUGAGACGCGAAAGCGUGGGGAGCGAACAGG